UAAAGCUCUGUUGUAAGUCAAGAACGGGUGUGAGAGUGGAAAGUUCACACUGUGACGGUAGCUUACCAGAAAGGGACGGCUAACUACGUGCCAGCAGCCGCGGUAAUACGUAGGUCCCGAGCGUUGUCCGGAUUUAUUGGGCGUAAAGCGAGCGCAGGCGGUUUGAUAAGUCUGAAGUUAAAGGCUGUGGCUCAACCAUAGUUCGCUUUGGAAACUGUCAAACUUGAGUGCAGAAGGGGCAGAGGGAAUUCCUGGUGUAGCGGUGAAAUGCGUAGAGAUCAGGAAGAACAUCGGUGGCGAAAGGCGCUCUGCUGGACCAUAAACUGACACUCAGGGUCGACGCGGCCG
rnacentral:rRNA from 1 species